GAUGAACGCUGGCGGCGUGCCUAAUACAUGCAAGUCGAGCGAACGGACGAGAAGCUUGCUUCUCUGAUGUUAGCGGCGGACGGGUGAGUAACACGUGGAUAACCUACCUAUAAGACUGGGAUAACUUCGGGAAACCGGAGCUAAUACCGGAUAAUAUUUUGAACCGCAUGGUUCAAAAGUGAAAGACGGUCUUGCUGUCACUUAUAGAUAGAUCCGCGCUGCAUUAGCUAGUUGGUAAGGUAACGGCUUACCAAGGCAACGAUGCAUAGCCGACCUGAGAGGGUGAUCGGCCACACUGGAACUGAGACACGGUCCAGACUCCUACGGGAGGCAGCAGUAGGGAAUCUUCCGCAAUGGGCGAAAGCCUGACGGAGCAACGCCGCGUGAGUGAUGAAGGUCUUCGGAUCGUAAAACUCUGUUAUUAGGGAAGAACAUAUGUGUAAGUAACUGUGCACAUCUUGACGGUACCUAAUCAGAAAGCCACGGCUAACUACGU
rnacentral:rRNA from 1 species